UACGUAGGAGGCAAGCGUUGUCCGGAUUUACUGGGCGUAAAGGGCGCGUAGGCGGUCGUGACAAGUCACUUGUGAAAUCUCCGGGCUUAACUCGGAACGGUCAAGUGAUACUGUCGGACUAGAGUACAGAAGGGGCAACUGGAAUUCUCGGUGUAGCGGUGAAAUGCGUAGAUAUCGAGAGGAACACCUGCGGCGAAGGCGGGUUGCUGGGCUGAUACUGACGCUGAGGCGCGAAAGCCAGGGGAGCGAACGGG
rnacentral:rRNA from 1 species